rnacentral:rRNA from 1 species
CUACGGGAGGCACCAGUAAGGAAUAUUGGUCAAUGGACGCAAGUCUGAACCAGCCAUGCCGCGUGAAGGAUUAAGGUCCUCUGGAUUGUAAACUUCUUUUAUAUGGGACGAAAAAAGGUCUUUCUAGACCCCUUGACGGUACCAUAUGAAUAAGCACCGGCUAACUCCGGGCCAGCAGCCGCGGUAAUACGGAGGGUGCAAGCGUUAUCCGGAUUCACUGGGUUUAAAGGGUGCGUAGGCGGGUAGGUAAGUCAGUGGUGAAAUCCUGGAGCUCAACUCCAGAACUGCCAUUGCUACUAUCUAUCUUGAAUAUUGUGGAGGUAAGCGGAAUAUGUCAUGUAGCGGUGAAAUGCUUAGAUAUGACAUAGAACACCCAUUGCGAAGGCAGCUUACUACGCAUAUAUUGACGCUGAGGCACGAAAGCGUGGGGAUCAAACAGGAUUAGAUACCCCGGUAGUC